AUGGAUUCUCGGGCUCUCUGCACCGUGGCCCUGAUCAUUUUAUUCCUGCCGUUGUGCGGCUCGGACGACCGGCUUGUCCCUGGCAAGUCGCUGUAUCCCGGCAACACCAUCAUCUCCGAUGGUGGCACGUUCUCCUUGGGCUUCUUCAACCCCUCCAACUCCACUCCAGCCAAGCUGUACCUUGGUAUAUGGUACAACAACAUCUCUGAGUUCACAGUUGUGUGGGUUGCGAACCGUGAAACCCCAGUCACCAACAUCACUUCCUUUGCACCCAUGCUCUCCCUCACCAACACCUCCAAUCUCAUUAUCUCCGAAGCUAACAAUAGUGUCCGUAUCCUUUGGACGAGGGCCAACGUGACAACUAUUUCCCCGGGCUCAUCUACCCCGACGGCGGUGCUUCUGAACACCGGCAACCUCAUCAUUCGCUUGUCAAACGGCACCACAGUGUGGCAGAGCUUCGACCACCGCACAGACACGCUCCUCCCGGGGAUGAAGAUGCGGAUCAAAUACAGCACAAACGGUACUGGGGAUCGUCUGGUUUCCUGGAAGGGCCCCAACGAUCCCUCUCCAGGGCGCUUCUCCUACGGUGGCGACCCAGACACACCCCUCCAAGUAUUCCUGUGGGACGGGGAGAGCUUGGUGACCCGU
rnacentral:rRNA from 1 species